UACGUAGGUGGCAAGCGUUAUCCGGAUUUAUUGGGUGUAUAGGGCGUGUAGGCGGGAGCGCAAGUCAGAUGUGAAAACUCAGGGCUCAACCCUGAGCCUGCAUUUGAAACUGCGUUUCUUGAGUGCUGGAGAGGCAAUCGGAAUUCCGUGUGUAGCGGUGAAAUGCGUAGAUAUACGGAGGAACACCAGUGGCGAAGGCGGAUUGCUGGACAGUAACUGACGCUGAGGCGCGAAAGCGUGGGGAGCAAACAGG
rnacentral:rRNA from 1 species